AUUCAACUGACGAGUCCCAUAUAGGACGAAACGCGCAUCAAACUGUAU
rnacentral:hammerhead_ribozyme from 1 species